CAGUCCGCAGGUCAGCACUCUAUCCACUGAGUCAAACUGGCUAGGGCUAAAUGCUUUUCUUAUGCCUUAAUUUUGUCCUCUUUCCCUGACAUUUCACUGUAUUAAUUUGCAGGAAUAAUAUUAUCAAUAUGGUAGUUGAUUUGCACUUUCUAUUAUAUUCUUAACUAUUAGCUGAGGCGAGAAAAAGAAAGCACAGAGACAGAAAGGAGUUUGCCUCAGGUGGCACAGCAAGUCCCUGAAAGGGCCAGGACCAGUCUUCCCAAUAAUGUGAUUUAACAGGUGGGCUGGCUUAGCUUUGCAUCGGGGAUUUCUUCUGUGGUUUUAUUACUCUUUAAAAAUAGAGAUUCUCCCAUAGCCCCGUGUGUCCCAUUUUUGCUUAUACCAGCUACUACUGGAAGCUUAGGUGUUGCUGGGUUUUUAAUUAUUUUGCUCCUGAAUUCAGAAACUUCCUAUCCCAAGGUCGAUCAGCCAGGUGCUCAGAUGAACGUUGCUACUUGUAAUUGCUCUCUUAGAGCCACAGACAGAUUCAAAUGAUGUAAAUUGCUCUAGAAGGUCUUGUUUCAUUUUUCAAAUGUGUCUGUGUCACUUUAGCAAGAGAGAAAGCAGCUCCCAGGAGGCACCUUAUACCUCAGUCACCGCUGAGCAAUGGAGGAGGCUCUCAAGGUACGGUGUGUGCUCACCAUCUCCAGCCACAGAAGAGCCAAGGAACAGUCUUGGCACGCAAUGGCUCACUGGUGGCACCAGUCCUCUAGAAUGCUAACUGCACUUGCAAGGAGAGCCACUUAGAAUCUGAGGCCUGGCCUGGCUGUGCUUCUACAUGGAGCGCCAGUGUUUGCUGCUCUCUGGGAGGAGGCUCUGGGGAACUCAGCUCUCCCAGCUUUGUGGCCAGUAUAGCUAGCCAGCCCCACCAACACCAAAGCAGCCCACCAACACCAGCUGCCCCGCUCACUGAGUUCUCAGGAGACUGUUAUUAGCACGUUCUCCAACCAUUGAAUAAGGCAUGAGCUUGAUUAACUUGGAUACAAAACAAAAACUGCUCAACUGAUCUUAAAGAAACAGUGCUACCCAGAGGGCCAUGUUCCUUGAGUCUGCUGCCCCUGGUAACCACCAAAAGCAGGCAGUACCUUGAGAUCCCAGGAGCUCCUACGCCAAGUAAUGGAGCUGCGACAGUGGUCUGGGUGGGACAGUCUUUAACUGGUUCAUUGCCCAACACAGUCCUCCUGUGCACUGAGAGCUGCCUGCUGAGAACAGUAUGUUCAAGAACCUGUCCUCCCAGAAGACUGCGGCACGUGCCUUUCUUGUGAGUCUUUAUUGCCAUCCCCACUGUUCACUGUAUUGGGAAUUGUCUGGGCUUCACCCUCUGGCAUCCCUAAUCCUGGAGCCUCAAGAAGAAAUCCUGCAUCUGCAGGACUCCCCAAGCAAAAAUCACGACAAUUGCAGCCUGUCGGAAAAUAAGGGUCCACUACAGAACUGAUCAGGGAAAGGUGGCCUGAAGGCUGACCCCAGGAAUUUACUGAUUAUACAGUUUGAAGAAGCUUAACUGCCUGUAGUUUAGUCCUCAGAAGGCAUUUGCAGAAGAUGCAGGAGCCAAGGAGGAAGGUUUAUUUCUUCCUUGAGUCUACCUAGCACACUCUUAAAUCUUUGCGGCCUUCAAAACGUGACAGACAUGAAAGAAAAGGUGGUUAGGGUCUUGGGCCCCAUCACUUCACGUGAAAAAGGUAAUGCCUUUCUUACCCUUCCCUACUCUGCUGAUCUUAAGAAAACAGGAGGCCAGAGAAGUAAACCACCAUUUCCCAGGGGACGCAUAAAUUCCCCUGGCUAAUUUCCAGUGUGCACAUGGAGAACCUCCUGCAAGGUUGAGGGGUGGUGCAUUAAGUAGGAGCCACGGCACCUUCACCACGGUAUGUCCCACCAAAGUGCAGUCUGUCACAGGGCUGGCAGCUCACAAAGCAGGGGUUGGCCUUGCCCUUGCCUCGGGCUUGGUGAUGUGCUAUUGAAACCCAUAAGCUGAGUCUGCACUGCCACUGGCUGGAGAGCUCCCCUUUCUGAGCAAGUGCAGGGCUGGAGCACCACAGCCUGGUGUGAGGCCAGCCAGCAACCCAGGGAGAUGCAGCCCAAGGACCACUUGGAACUCUGACAACUUUAGGGCUGCUCCUUAAAUGAUUGCUCCCAGCCAAAAAGCAUUGCUAGUACUUGGAAGAGGCCAAGACUGUCCUCCAACUGAGUCAGCUAGCACAGCAGAGAAAGCUCUCCUUUUUAAAGGGCUAGGGAGGGUUGGCUGUAGGUGGGUGUGGACUUGCAAACUCAUCUAAACCAACUACCUCAAAACAAACUCACAAUAUCAUUUCCCCUGCAGGAGCGGGGACUCUGGGAGACUGGCAUCUGCUGAUUUGGCUAAAUGGACUACACGCUUGGAAUCCAAAUGGGUCUACAAAUGUUCUCACUGAUUGUCUUUCUGGUCUCUCCAUAUUUUAGCUUUGAUCGUUGUGUAAGCCACAGCCUGUCUAGUGGAAUAAGUGAUAUGAGCAAAUUAAAAAGGCACAUUGUGCUCCAAGGGGACUCGUCGGGCAGUCGCUGUGAUGGUCCAGGGCCACUCAGCUCCAGCCUCAGAGUCACCUGCAACGAAAACCACUUCUUGCCAUCAGGGAUGGAUUCAGUGAUGUUGAUGGGACUGCUCACAAACCCCAACUGACAGAUAUUCUCUGGAGAGGGAAGAGGUCAUUCUUCACAGCAGAAGAGAAAGGAGGGGCAUGUCUCUAUAUCAAACUGUGGCCAUCAAAGUUUCUACUGACCUUUAGGCUGUGACGUCACCAGAAUCUCAGUUCUGGCGAGAGCACUGGUGUGGGAAGCAUCUCAUGAGACAUACCAGUUGGAGCAGAGUUCCCUAAGGCCAGGGUGGCCUCACAGUUGCCUCCUGCUGCCAAGCACUGAGCAGCCAAAGCCUGUAAGCAGGGUGGGGGAGGGAGCAUAAGCCAGCACCCUAGCGCUCUAGGCUCUGCGCCCUGUGCUGUUGAGAGGAGGCUGCUCCCCCACCAUUUCCCCAGGAAAACAGCACCCUAGUGCGGUGACCUCCUAGGGAUCAGCAGAGGACUUCCAUUGAAAAUAAUGGAAAUUCACAUUGGUGCGCAUUUGAUCCUAAAAAGGUAGGAAUACACCCGAGGAUGACAGCUGCCAAGCAGGGAUCAAACACCACUGUGUCAGCCCGAGACUGACCCACAUCAAGGGAGGGAAAUAGAAGAAACACCUGCAGAGACUAAAUUUCUGGGACCCAAAAGUCUGGACAGUGUUUGGGCCACUCCAUGUUCCCCCACCCAUUACUGCCAGGGGCAGUGGGGAGCCUGUGUCCAGGAGGGAGUUGUCCAGGCCUCAAGAAAAUCCCUCCUGGAUGUCAAGGAUCACUGCGCCUCGCCCCUCCAGCCCUGCUCACCUCGGAAG